UACAGAGGGUGCGAGCGUUAAUCGGAAUUACUGGGCGUAAAGCGCACGUAGGUGGCGACGUAAGUCGGGUGUGAAAUCUCAGGGCUCAACCCUGAAACUGCACUCGAUACUGCUCUGCUUGAGGACUGGAGAGGAGACUGGAAUUCACGGUGUAGCAGUGAAAUGCGUAGAUAUCGUAAGGAAGACCAGUGGCGAAGGCGGGUCUCUGGACAGUUCCUGACGCUGAGGCACGAAGGUCAGGGGAGCAAACGGG
rnacentral:rRNA from 1 species